UUCGACACACUAUCAUUAACUGAAUCCAUAGGUUAAUGAGGCGAACCGGGGGAACUGAAACAUCUAAGUACCCCGAGGAAAAGAAAUCAACCGAGAUUCCCCCAGUAGCGGCGAGCGAACGGGGAGCAGCCCAGAGCCUGAAUCAGUGUGUGUGUUAGUGGAAGCGUCUGGAAAGGCGCGCGAUACAGGGUGACAGCCCCGUACACAAAAAUGCACAUACUGUGAGCUCGAUGAGUAGGGCGGGACACGUGGUAUCCUGUCUGAAUAUGGGGGGACCAUCCUCCAAGGCUAAAUACUCCUGACUGACCGAUAGUGAACCAGUACCGUGAGGGAAAGGCGAAAAGAACCCCGGCGAGGGGAGUGAAAAAGAACCUGAAACCGUGUACGUACAAGCAGUGGGAGCACGCUUAGGCGUGUGACUGCGUACCUUUUGUAUAAUGGGUCAGCGACUUAUAUUCUGUAGCAAGGUUAACCGAAUAGGGGAGCCGAAGGGAAACCGAGUCUUAACUGGGCGUUAAGUUGCAGGGUAUAGACCCGAAACCCGGUGAUCUAGCCAUGGGCAGGUUGAAGGUUGGGUAACACUAACUGGAGGACCGAACCGACUAAUGUUGAAAAAUUAGCGGAUGACUUGUGGCUGGGGGUGAAAGGCCAAUCAAACCGGGAGAUAGCUGGUUCUCCCCGAAAGCUAUUUAGGUAGCGCCUCGUGAAUUCAUCUCCGGGGGUAGAGCACUGUUUCGGCAAGGGGGUCAUCCCGACUUACCAACCCGAUGCAAACUGCGAAUACCGGAGAAUGUUAUCACGGGAGACACACGGCGGGUGCUAACGUCCGUCGUGAAGAGGGAAACAACCCAGACCGCCAGCUAAGGUCCCAAAGUCAUGGUUAAGUGGGAAACGAUGUGGGAAGGCCCAGACAGCCAGGAUGUUGGCUUAGAAGCAGCCAUCAUUUAAAGAAAGCGUAAUAGCUCACUGGUCGAGUCGGCCUGCGCGGAAGAUGUAACGGGGCUAAACCAUGCACCGAAGCUGCGGCAGCGACGCUGAUGCGUUGUUGGGUA
rnacentral:rRNA from 1 species